GCGUUCUAUUUUCUCUCUCCUUUCUUCGUUUCUCCGUUCUACUUUUUGUUCAUUCAUCAUGUUUCGAUUUCGAAAUUCUUGAUUCUAAGGGUUUUUCGUUGCUUCGUUAUGUCUUGAUUUCAGGUUUUGCUGUUUUCGAUUUCUUUGAUCGAUUGCUAUAAAGGAACACUCGUUAUGGAUUUUCGGAUCGUAGAUAUUAAGAAUUUCGUAAUUCUCUUGAUCUUCUUUUAUUGAUCGGUUAUUUUAUCAAGAAUUGUUUGAAUAAUAUUUGGAUUAUUGGAUAUAAAUCUUCAUCAUUGGAUAAUCGAGAUAUAUACAUGUUUAUCCGUUUUGCAGCGAGAUGAAUCUUUUCUAUAUCACUUUUGCGAUUCUUGAAAGUGGAUAACAAUAGAAACGGUUCCAGAUAAAUCGAAUUGAACUUUCAACAUGUCUUUCUUGAUUUGCUCAUGGAGUUUGGUUUCUUGAUCGAUUUUUCACGUUUCUUGAUUUGUUAUCUUGAUUGAUUACUCUGAGAGAUCUUGAUUUCAGGGAUCGCUGUUCUUGUUUUCUAUGAUCCGUCCCUGUAGACGCAUUGAUAUCAAGAAUUUCACACGAUCACACACCUCUAUUCACUCUUUUAAGCAUCAUCGGUUAUUUCAAUAAUUUUGGAUACAAUUCUUCAAUUGAUAAUGAGACAUGCAUUUACCCGUUUUGCUUUUACAGUGAGCUGAAGAGUUUUGGUGUCUAUGUAGAGCAACUUGAUGCAAUAGACAAGAUCGGAGAACGGUCCCGGAUAGAUAAAUCAAUUUUUUUCAAUGAAUAUCUUUUUACUAUUCUUUAGGAUUUGAUUUUAAGCAAAUUGAAUUAAGAACAUAUUUUUAUGCAGCGUGAUUUCUCAAAGAUGGAGCCCAGGAUUUUGAUUUGGUGAUAGCAUGUUUUUCUGCAGCGUGGUUUGUCAAAAUAUUAACCUUCUUCGUAGUAUGGUUUGUGUAUACAAUAUGAACAAUAUGAAUUCAUAGAGGAGAAGACAAAAAGAUAUUCUAAGACAACGAAAGCUAAUAACUAUUUACAUAGAUGCAAUCAUGAAGAAAAAAAUAAAUAAUAAGUAAUAUAAAAUCUAAUCUUUAAAGAUAUUCUAAGAUUCUAAGAUACUUUACUAUAAUAUCAAGAUACUAAAGAAAUUUUUGGAUAUUUUAACGGUUUGAUCUUCAUGUUAUGUAAUCUUCUCUACAAGUCUUAUUUUGAUGACAAGUUUAUUGAGGUGUGAAUUAUGUUGGUAUUGAAAAGUUCAGUUGUAGGGUUUCCUUAUGCCUCCAAUACAUUUAAGUUUUUGACUUGUAUAAUCUGACAGUGUGAAAGUUACAAAAUUCUGGAUAAAUUGGGAGGGAACAGCUUUGUGGAGCUCUCUUCCUAACUACGAUCUUCUGAUCAGGGACUUGGUUUGGUUUGGAGAAUUAUGCUACUCUUUAUUUAUCCAUAGCUUUUUCUACAACUAUUUGUCAUAUCGUGAUUUUAUUAUUCUUUGAUCGUGUUCAAGAUGGUGUUGAUUGUGCAGCCAGAACCUUUGUACUACUCUAGCAUAGAUUACAAGAUUUUGGAAUGACUCUUUGGCCUUCCCAAGAUGAGGAAUUUUGGAAAACUGGAUAUAAAUUUGAUUCUGAUGAUUUGUUUGUUGGUGAUAGCUUAACUUUGUUGGGGGAGGUUUUCUAAAUCUUCAUUACUGUUUUGUCGUUUUUAUUGUGAUUUAUGAUGAUGAUACUCCUAAAAAGAUUCCCUAUUCAUUAUAGUGGCCAAAGGACUCUUCUGUAUUUGGAGAAGCCAAAAUCAUGUCAUUUCAUAUGGGUACAUGAUCUUGCAAAUUGGAUGGAAAUUUGGUCAACUCUUAUAAGACUCUUCUUUACAUUUCAGUGUUAUUUUUUAUACUCAACACAUAAAAGGUCGGUUCCUUUGAGUUUUCUUUGUUGUUGUUAUAGGGGAGAGAGCCUAUAAAUGUGUGGUUCACGGUGGAACCCAUGGCAGGCAGAGGUUGACAUACUUACUCUUCAGCUUGGGAUUUUGGAUAGUGUUAGUUUUUGUGUAUAUGGUAUCAGGAAUGUAUGUAUGAAUGAAGCAAGGAUGAGGAACUCGUGACAACUUCCUUUGGCACCACAAUCUGCAAUUGGCUGCUGUUGAUGUGCUUUCAUUUGGUUAUCUCUACUCUGACUAUGCACUCUUCAUGUUUCUUUGUAUAUUUUGAGGAUAUAGUUUUCUUUGAUUCCAAGGACUUGUUUGUGCUUUGGUGUUACAGAGGAGAGAGCUGUGAAUGUACUGUUGGAUUUGAAAGUUUUGAGCCUUUGGAUUCAACGGGUUACUUUUUCCUUGAGUGUUUGUUCUGGAAUAGGUGUCCUAUUAUGAUGCGGCAGUGCUGGUAUUUAUUUAUGUUUAGAAUUAUGAAUCUAAGCAUUAGCAGUGCAUCUAUUUUCUUGUAUAAUCAAGAUAUAAGUUUGUUUUGCAGUGACUUGAACGUUUGUAGAUAUUUUGAUACAUUUCGUAUUGAUGAUAAUCGAUAAGAAUGAUAAUGGCUACAGAUACAUAGAUCAAGUUUCUUCAAUGAAGUCGUUCUUUAUUAUUUUUAUUUUUGCGCUUCCAUUGUAAGAUACAAAUUGAAUUGUGAACUUGUUUUUCUGCAGUGUGGUUUUUCAAAAUAAUGAUGUUCAUUCAUCAUAGCAUGGGAGCCUCAAGUUUUGGUUUGCCUAUUUCUUUUUAAAACAUAUUUUUUCGAUACUUUAUUCCCUUUGGUGAUGCAGGGACGAUAAUAAUUUUCUUUCUCUUGUUUGAUCUUCCGGUUUUGUAUUCUGAUUAUUUUCUCUGGUAUUUUGAUUGUGAGGUUUGAUUUGAUUCUGGCUUUAAUGCAUGUUAUUUUCUGCGGUGCAGUGUGUUUUGAAACAAUAACAUUUUAUUAGCAUCAAGCCUCAGGUUUUAUUCUGGUCUAUUCUGAUCUUGAUUUCAGGGAUCGCUGUUCUCGUUUUCUAUGAUCCGUCGCUGUAAACGCAUUGAUAUGGUUUUUUCAGAUAGUGGAUAUCAAGAAUUUCACACUAUCACACACCUCUAUUCACUCUUUUACGCAUCAUCGGUUAUUUCAAUAAUUUUGGAUACAAUUCUUCAUUUGAUAAUGAGACGUGCAUUUAUCCGUUUUGCUUUUACAGUGAGCUGAAAAGUUUUGGUGUCUAUGUAGAGCGACUUGAUGCAAUAGACAAGAUUGGAGAACGGUCCCGGAUAGAUAAAUCAAAUUUUUUCAAUGAAUAUCUUUUUACUAUUUUUUAGAAUUUGAUUUUAAGCAAAUUGAAUUAAGACCAUAUUUUUAUGCAGCGUGAUUUGUCAAAGAUGGAGCCCAGAAUUUUGAUUUGGUGAUAGCAUGUUUUUCUGCAGCAUGGUUUGUCAAAAUAUUAACCUUCUUCAUAGUAUGGUUUGUGUAUACAAUAUGAACAAUAUGAAUUCAUAGAGGAGAAGACAAAAAGAUAUUCUAAGACAACGAAUGCUAAUCACUAUUUAAAUAGAUGCAAUCAUGAAGAAAAAAAUAAAUAAUAAGUAAUAUAAAAUCUAAUCUUUAAAGAUAUUCUAAGAUUCUAAGAUACUUUAAUAUAAUAUCAAGAUACUAAAGAAUUUUUGGAUAUUUUAACGGUUUGAUCUUAUGUUAUGUAAUCUUUUGAUGUUAUUUGGUUGUUGGUUUUAUCAAGAUACAGUAGUAUGUUUUGAAACAAUGAACUUCUAUUAUGAAGCAAUCAGGUUUAAUUUCGUACACACUCUUGGAUUGUGAAUUAUGUUGGUAUUGAAAAGUUCAGUUGUAGGGUUUCCUUAUGCCAUCAAUACAUUUAAGUUUUUGACUUGUAUAAUCUGACAGUGUGAAAGUUGCAAAAUUCUGGAUAAAUUGGGAGUGAACAGCUUUGUGGAGCUCUCUUCCUAACUACGAUCUUCUGAUCAGGGACUUGGUUUGGAGAAUUAUGCUUGUCUUUAUUUAUUCAUAGCUUUUUCUACAACUAUUUGUCACAUCGUGAUUUUAUUAUUCUUUGAUCGUGUUCAAGAUGGUGUUGAUUGUGCAUCCAGAACCUUUGUACUACUCUAGCAUAGAUUACAACAUUUUGGAAUGACUCUUUGGCCUUCCCAAGAUGACGAAUUUUGGACAACUGGAUAUAAAUUUGAUUCUGAUCAUGAUUUGUUUGUUGGUGAACUUUGUUGGGGGAGGUUUUCUAAAUCUUCAUUACUGUUUUGUCAUUUUUAUUGUGAUUUAUGAUUUAUGAUGAUGAUGAUACUCCUAAAAAGAUACCCUAUUCAUUAUAGUGGCCAAAGGACUCUUCUGUAUUUGGAGAAGCCAAAAUCAUGUCAUUUCAUAUGGGUAUAUGAUCUUGCAAAUUGGAUGGAAAUUUGGUCAACUCUUAUAAGACUCUUCUUUACAUUUCAGUGUUAUUUUUUAUACUCAACACAUAAAAGGUCGGUUCCUUUGAGUUUUCUUUGUUGUUGUUAUAGGGGAGAGAGCCUAUAAAUGUGUGGUUCACUGUGGAACCCAUGGCAGGCAGAGGUUGACAUACUUACUCUUCAGCUUGGGAUUUUGGAUAGUGUCAGUUUUUGUGUAUAUGGUAUCAGGAAUGUAUGUAUGAAUGAAGCAAGGACGAGGAACUCGUGACAACUUGCUUUGGCACCAGAAUCUGCAAUUGUCUGCUGUUGAUGUGCUUUCAUUUGGUUAUCUCUACUCUGACUAUGCACUCUUCAUCUUUCUUUGUAUAUUUUGAGGAUAUAGUUUUCUUUGAUUCCAAGGACUUGUUUGUGCAUUGGUGUUACAGAGGAGAGAGCUGUGAAUGUACUGUUGGAUUUGAAAGUUUUGAGCCUUUGGAUUCAAUGGGUUACUUUUUUCCUUGAGUGUUUGUUCUGGAAUAGGUGUCCUAGUAUGAUGCGGCAGUGCUGGUAUUUAUUUAUGUUUAGAAUUAUGAAUUUAAGUAUUAGCAGUGCAUCUCUUUUCUUGUAUAAUCAAGAUAUAAGUUUGUUUUGCAGUGACUUGAACGUUUGUAGAUAUUUUGAUACAUUUCGUAUUGAGCGGAUCGAUUUUGAUUUCUAGAUAUCUGGAACAAUUUGCAAUUAUUGAUGAUAAUCGAUAAGAAUGAUAAUGGCUACAGAUACAUAGAUCAAGUUUCUUCAAUGAAGUCAUUCUUUAUUUUUAUUUUUGCGCUUUCAUUGUAAGAUACAAAUUGAAUUGUGAACUUGUUU
rnacentral:lncRNA from 1 species